ACAUGUACCUCUUGUCGAGCUGUUCGGUGAUCAUAAAGGCCGAGGCUCCGUGCCGAGGCGGACCAUAGCACUGCGGUUCGCUGUAGCACGCCUCUAUCCCAAACUGGGAUAGCUGGGGCACAUAAUUUUUGGUAGUGGGGUUGGUUCCAGCCCCAU